rnacentral:rRNA from 1 species
CACAAGCGGUGGAGCAUGUGGUUUAAUUCGACGCAACGCGAAGAACCUUACCUGGCCUUGACAUGCAGAGAACUUUCCAGAGAUGGAUUGGUGCCUUCGGGAACUCUGACACAGGUGCUGCAUGGCCGUCGUCAGCUCGUGUCGUGAGAUGUUGGGUUAAGUCCCGUAACGAGCGCAACCCCUAUCCCUAGUUGCUAGCAGUUCGGCUGAGAACUCUAGGGAGACUGCCGGUGACAAACCGGAGGAAGGUGGGGAUGACGUCAGGUCAUCAUGGCCCUUACGGCCAGGGCUACACACGUGCUACAAUGGCGCGCACAGAGGGCUGCAAACCCGCGAGGGGGAGCUAAUCUCACAAAACGCGUCGUAGUCCGGAUCGGAGUCUGCAACUCGACUCCGUGAAGUCGGAAUCGCUAGUAAUCGUGAAUCAGAAUGUCACGGUGAAUACGUUCCCGGGCCUUGUACACACCGCCCGUCACACCAUGGGAGUGGAUUGCACCAGAAGUGGUUAGUCUAACCUUCGGGAGGACGAUCACCACGGUGUGGUUCAUGACUGGGGUGAAGUCGUAACAAGGUAACCGUA